AGCCAGCCAGCCAGCCACCUGUCUUUGCAAAAACAAAAAGUUUUAUUCCAGCACAGCCACACCCAUUCGUUUCCCCUACUGUCGACGGCUGCUCUUGUCCCGCAACCCAAAAGUAAGAAAUCUUUGAAAAUUUCUCAGUCCCAGAUGCAGUUAAAUCAGUUGUGCUGAUAAUGCAGAUAGCACAAAGUCUACUCCCCCACCCUCACCGAAAAUCAUUAGAGAGAACCAGAAGCCCUGAGGCAAACAGGUGCAGCAAAAAGAGGCUUCUCCUAGCAGUUUCCAGGGAGAUUUUCCAGAGAUCCAGGAAGAACUGUGAGGAAGUCUCACUACCAACGGCCACCAGCAGUGGGGCAGCUCGGGAUUUUCCUUGGCAACCGUGAUGUCAUCUGUAUCUUAGAAGGGGCUCGGUCCAUCCAGGGUGGUGGCAGAGGGCUGGUAGGCUGGGACGAUGGCCAAGCUUGGCAUCCCAUGCGUAGGUCUAGAGAGGACUAGUGUUCUUGAUAUUGACAUUUGUAGGUCCUGUUCGAGGGGCUCUGGGCCGAUGACCCCCACAAUGGCAUAUCUGACUGAGGCCCUGUCCCCGCAAUCUACCAGGAAUACAUGUUGUUGGCUCCUUGCAGAGGCACACACAACUUAGGAGUAUCCUAAACGCAAGCAGACCACCCUGCUAGAAAGAAGGUGAAGGAGCUUAGAACAUACCUCUUUACCUUCUAGUUUAUUAAGAGGUUUGAAGUUUCCCAGGCGGGAGAUAACACCACAAGAAGAAGAAUCUUCCAGAUUGGCCACCAUAUACAGUACAGUUAGAUCUGCUGUACAACCAAAUAUAUGCUGUGGUGAGA